rnacentral:piRNA from 1 species
UCCUAGGGUCCGUUGUCACAUUAUCAUUGA